UACGUAGGGUGCAAGCGUUGUCCGGAAUUAUUGGGCGUAAAGAGCGUGUAGGCGGUUCGGUAAGUCUGCCGUGAAAUCCUGGGGCUCAACCCCGGACUUGCAGUGGGUACGGGCAGACUAGAGUGUGGUAGGGGAGACUGGAAUUCCUGGUGUAGCGGUGAAAUGCGCAGAUAUCAUGAGGAAUACCAGAGGCGAAGGCGGCUACCUGGACAAUUGCUGACGCUCAGGCACGAAAGCGUGGGGAGCAAAAGGG
rnacentral:rRNA from 1 species